ACGGAAGGCAGCAGUGGGGAAUAUUGGGCAAUGGGCGAAAGCCUGACCCAGCGACGCCGCGUGAGGGAAGAAGGUCUUCGGAUUGUAAACCUCUUUCAGCAGGGAAGAAGCAUGACGGUACCUGCAGAAGAAGUCACGGCUAACUACGUGCCAGCAGCCGCGGUAAUACGUAGGUGGCGAGCGUUAUCCGGAAUUACUGGGUGUAAAGGGUGUGUAGGCGGGGAAGCAAGUCAGGCGUGAAAUACACGGGCUCAACCCGUGAACUGCGCUUGAAACUGUUUUUCUUGAGAGUGGGAGAGGUAAACGGAAUUCCUGGUGUGGUAGUGAAAUGCGUAGAUAUCAGGAGGAACACCGGUGGCGAAGGCGGUUUACUGGACCACAACUGACGCUGAGACACGAAAGCGUGGGGAGCAAACAGGAUUAGAUACCCUGGUA
rnacentral:rRNA from 1 species